rnacentral:rRNA from 1 species
GACGAGGGGUCCUAGCGUUGUUCGGAAUCACUGGGCGUAAAGCGUUUGUAGGCGGCCCUGUAAGUCGGGUGUGAAAUCCCACGGCUCAACCGUGGAAGUGCAUUCGAAACUGCAGAGCUUGAAUAUGGAAGAGGAGAGUAGAAUUCCAGGUGUAGUGGUGAAAUACGUAGAUAUCUGGAGGAAUACCGGUGGCGAAGGCGGCUCUCUGGUCCAAUAUUGACGCUGAGAAACGAAAGCGUGGGGAUCAAACAGG